AUUGAACGCUGGCGGCAGGCCUAACACAUGCAAGUCGAACGAGUGGCGGACGGGUGAGUCAUGUCUGGGAAACUGCCCGAUGGAGGGGGAUAACUACUGGAAACGGUAGCUAAUACCGCAUACACUCGGAUGUGCCCAGAGGGGAUUAGCUAGUAGGUGGUGUAACGGCUCCCCUAGGCGACGAUCCCUAGCUGGUCUGAGAGGAUGACCAGCUACACUGGAACUGAGACACGGUCCAGACUCCGACGGGAGGCAGCAGUGGGGAAUAUUGCACAAUGGGCGCAAGCCUGAGGCAGCCAGGCCGCGUGUAUGAAGAAGGCCUUCGGGUUGUAAAGUACUUUCAGCGGGGAGGCGUUACCCGCAGAAGAAGCACCGGCUAACUCCGUGCCAGCAGCCGCGGUAAUAC
rnacentral:rRNA from 1 species